UACGUAGGGGGCGAGCGUUGUCCGGAUUUAUUGGGCGUAAAGAGCGUGUAGGGGGCUGGGUAGGUCCGUUGUGAAAACUCGAGGCUCAACCUCGAGACGCCGAUGGAAACCAUCCAGCUAGAGUCCGGAAGAGGAGAGUGGAAUUCCUGGUGUAGCGGUGAAAUGCGCAGAUAUCAGGAGGAACACCGGUGGCGAAGGCGGGUCUCUGGGCCGAAAUUGACGCUGAGGAGCGAAAGCGUGGGGAGCAAACAGG
rnacentral:rRNA from 1 species